GACGUUGGCAGCGGCGCCGGGAGCGGGAGCGAGCUCGGGGUGCUGCGUGUGCCGUGAUGCCCUGGGCGUGCGGGUCUUCCAGGAUCCUUUGUGGGAUGAGGACUGUGGGAUGUGGUUAUAUAUGUGGCAGAUUGUCUGCUGGCAACAAAGAAGUUGGAAAAUGACAGCCGUGGCCACCCACCGAAGGCCUGGAUACAAUCGACAGAGGGCAAAUCCUCUGUACUUUCUGCUCCAUUGAGGAACCCGAAGGGAGAAAGCUAUUGCAGAGCACUGGGGAGACUGUUCGGGAUAAAGAGCUGAAAGCUCCAUGCUCCCGAGGCAACGCUUUGGCCACCUGCAGCUUCUGAAGCGCACCGAUAAUCCCGGCUCCCCCAGAAACCUUCCGAAGCCGGAAGGGCCAGGCAAGACAGCUGCAGGAGGGCUGCGGGAAGCACUUUCUCCCGGGUCUGGAUGGCGCUGAGAUGGGAAUGACUUCAGAAUAUUCCUCGUGCCUCUCCCGUUGCCAGCCCGGGACUAAGUCGGUGUUCCCCAAGCAGCUGCAGUUCCCUGCGUGUGGUGGGAGGAAGCCUGUGCUGGAGAGCGAGAGAAAGGUCCCUGCUGGUUGCUGUGUACUCGGUGGGCAGAGAACUGUGACC